rnacentral:rRNA from 1 species
CAAUACACGAGUGGCGCGACGGUGAGUAACGCGUGGAUAUCUGCCUUUUGGUUCGGAAUAACCCCGGGAAACUGGGGCUAAUACCGGAUGGUUCCUACGGGAUAAAGAUUUAUCGCCAAAAGAUGAGUCCGCGUACGAUUAGCUAGUUGGUGAGGUAAUGGCUCACCAAGGCGACGAUCGUUAGCUGGUCUGAGAGGACGAUCAGCCACACUGGGACUGAGACACGGCCCAG